ACAGAGGCCCCAAGCGUUACUGAGAAUCACUGGGUUUAAAGGGUGCGUAGGUGGUCCGUUAAGUCCGUUGUGAAAUCCCUGGGCUCAACCCAGGAACUGCUUCGGAUACUGGCGGACUUGAGGCGAGUAGGGGUCACUGGAACUGACGGUGGAGCGGUGAAAUGCGUAGAUAUCGUCAGGAACGCCGAUGGUGAAGACAGGUGACUGGGCUCGAUCUGACACUGAGGCACGAAAGCGUGGGGAUCAAACGGGA
rnacentral:rRNA from 1 species